GCCGCCAGCCCAUUUACUCAAUUGCUUCCCCGCGCGCACCUUCCGCCCUCCCUUUCCCCGGACUCUCCUUCUCGGAAUCGGUUCCCGCGGGCGGCGGCGGAGGUUGAGCCGGGUCCCCUCCCGGCAGGCGCGCACUGGGAUCCACUAGCUGAUAUGUCGGGAGGCUGGCCAGGCGGCUGCAUGGUGUGAGCCCUGCCACUGAGGACAUCGCCUUCGAAGUGCCCUGGGAUUCCAGACACUGUUCUCAGAGGAGAGAGAGGCUCACUCUGAAGAGCGGUCCCAGGAAGGAAGCACAAGCCCCAUUGCAUUCCCUGAAGCCAGAGAUCCCUUGUCAGGUAGGCUGCCCCUUGCCACUCCCCACAAACGCUGGCCCCGGCCUGUUCCUGGGCCUUGGUGCUUAUCUCCGCAGUCUGUCCACACACCCUUUUUGGCAGUGGUUGAGAACAAAUUCCACUCAAAAGUUUCUAAACACUUCACAAGAAUGAGAGACCUUAGAGGGCCACACAGUUUGUUUCAUUUAAUAAUAUUUUUUUAAAGAGCAUGUGAUUUACUUUCCCGGAAAACACAUGGAUGCGAGAAGAGCAGGGAUGAACAACUGCCUUGGUUGCCAGAGGCGCCGGCCCCAAAGCCCCUCUUAGCCAGAAGCCAACUUGCUGUAUCAACCCAAGCCCUGUGAUUUGGAGGCUUAUCAACCCAUUCUCCAAAGAAACCACAGCAUUUGAAAACCCAAACUAGACUCUUGUCUUUCCCAAGCCCUUCAGUUAACAUUGCUCAAUGUAGCUAAGCAGAGGGAAUGCAAAUGAUUUAUAUUUCCCUGGCUAGGUUGAGGAAACUCGAGGGAGAUGUGUUCUGCUUCAAGACGGGGGAAAAAAUUCCCCAAAAACUGCAAUGCAAAGGCUUUGUAGUAUUUUUAAACCUUUGAUUCAGUCCAUAUGUGACAUCUGAACACCGCCAAAUUCUGUCUAUGUUUCAAAACACACAUACGCACAUACACACACACUCCUAGCAGGAGAGAAAAGUUGGGUUUUUUUUUAACAGCAGUGGUGGUGUAGGGAGGGCCGCCGGGAUCUGUCUUUAAAUUAUUGAGCGAUCCUCCCAUGCUCUCCCGCGGGUAGCCCCCCUGCAUUAGCGGUGGCUUUUAAUGGGAAAAAACAUGUUGAAAUGGAUAAAAAAUAACUUUCAGGGACUUACCUGGUUGGCCUCUCACUUGGUGUCCUGAAAAGUAGAGAGCUAAGAAAAUCCAGGUGAGAGGAGACAUAUCCAUUUUGGAGAAGGAGGCUUUCUCCAGAGCUGAAUGUGUAGCUUUCUUGUGUAUUUGUAAGUCUUUGUGUUUUUCUCUUUCUCUUGUUUCCUUCCUUACAAUGUCUUCUGUAAAGGUUUCCUAAUGGUCAGUGUUUCCCUCCUGGUUCUCGGCGGCCCGUCUUCACCUUUAUUCUCCCUGGAAUCCCCACCUCACCAGGAGGAGGGUAGCUCCUGAAAUCAGCAAAGAGGGAGCAAGCCGGGAAGAGCGGACGGGUUUUCUCUCUUAAAAACAAAACGCAUCUAUGUUCUCUCCAGUUCCUCAAAGUGUCUUUUCCUUUAUCCUACAACAUCAGGAAUAUUUCCCGAAAGCCAAGCGUAAAAAAUAAGAAUAAUAAAAAUAAAAGCCCAGACUUGCCUAGGGCAUCACACGGCCCCCAGGCAGCUGUGUGAUCUCAAAGGCGUAAAGUGACACACAUCUCCCGGCACCCAGGACUGACACGCGGGCGGAGGCACGGACCGACGGCCGGCCCGAGUGGGAGGCGGCUGCCCGGCAGCUCUUGCCCUCGCCGGGUUUCCCUAGCGGCAGCCUCCCCCAGCUGCUACACCCGCUUGGCCAGCCUCACGAGGGGAGGCUGAGGAAGGAAGCCGCUGCGGCGGCGGUGGCGGCGGCUGGGAUCGCCUCGGAGUGAGCGAGCCCCUUUCCGAGUUCGCUCGCGCCCGCCCUCACCUCCACCUCGCCCAGCGCCUCGCCGAGUGUCUGCGCGUCUGAGGAUGGGCUGGGGGCGGGCUGCGGGCUGGUGCCUCGCUCGCGUUCUCUGCCUUCUCUCCGGAUCCCCCCGCCUGCCUUUUCAGGCCGAGCAGCAUGUGGAUGUCAGAGCCGCGGCAGAGCUAUCCGAUUACGCGCCGGCUCAAGGCCCGCCCCUUCUGUGUUCCUGAUUAAAGCGGCAGCCGCGGAGACGCGCGGCGCACAGCCGAGCGCCGCGGCACCCAGC